GCAUCUAGAUUAGACUUUGAUCCUGGCUCAGAACGAACGCUGGCGGCAGGCUUAACACAUGCAAGUCGAACGCCCCGCAAGGGGAGUGGCAGACGGGUGAGUAACGCGUGGGAAUCUACCCAUCUCUGCGGAAUAGCUCUGGGAAACUGGAAUUAAUACCGCAUACGCCCUACGGGGGAAAGAUUUAUCGGGGAUGGAUGAGCCCGCGUUGGAUUAGCUAGUUGGUGGGGUAAAGGCCUACCAAGGCGACGAUCCAUAGCUGGUCUGAGAGGAUGAUCAGCCACAUUGGGACUGAGACACGGCCCAAACUCCUACGGGAGGCAGCAGUGGGGAAUAUUGGACAAUGGGCGCAAGCCUGAUCCAGCCAUGCCGCGUGAGUGAUGAAGGCCUUAGGGUUGUAAAGCUCUUUCACCGAUGAAGAUAAUGACGGUAGUCGGAGAAGAAGCCCCGGCUAACUUCGUGCCAGCAGCCGCGGUAAUACGAAGGGGGCUAGCGUUGUUCGGAAUUACUGGGCGUAAAGCGCACGUAGGCGGAUAUUUAAGUCAGGGGUGAAAUCCCGCAGCUCAACUGCGGAACUGCCUUUGAUACUGGGUAUCUUGAGUAUGGAAGAGGUAAGUGGAAUUCCGAGUGU
rnacentral:rRNA from 1 species